rnacentral:rRNA from 1 species
UACGAAGGGGGCUAGCGUUGUUCGGAAUUACUGGGCGUAAAGCGCACGUAGGCGGAUAUUUAAGUCAGGGGUGAAAUCCCGGGGCUCAACCCCGGAACUGCCUUUGAUACUGGGUAUCUCGAGUCCGGAAGAGGUGAGUGGAAUUCCGAGUGUAGAGGUGAAAUUCGUAGAUAUUCGGAGGAACACCAGUGGCGAAGGCGGCUCACUGGUCCGGUACUGACGCUGAGGUGCGAAAGCGUGGGGAGCGAUCCGG